CAACAUCGCCUCAGCUCCAUUGGAGCCUCAACCGAAGUGCUACUAUAAAAAUAACCAGGUGCAAGGUCAAAAUAAUAACUGCUGCGCAUGGAAUGAACUCGUUUUUAAAGAAUCCCGUCUGGUAGAGAGAAUGUCACUGCCGGAGCAUGAGUGACGCGCAUCUGCUCCACUGCUGCCCCCUGCUCUGUGUCCGGCCCAUACAUGAGGUCGUAACCGUGGCGGGGGGGCUGUGAAUCAGUGCAGAGUGUAAAGCAACCUCUACUCCAUAGUGACGAAUGCUCAUUUCAGGUGUGUCAUGGUGGCUUGCAGUCUACUCACCGACAGUUCAUCUGCUCAUCUGCUCCUGACCCCCACACUGGAGUGAUAUACAUACUGUACGAUAU
ensembl:lncRNA